GAAACAAAUGGAAAGUAUGGAUGAUUGUAGCUGUACUGGUCGCUGCAGGGCUAAUCUUAUGCCUCUCCGUUUGUUUCUCAAGCAAAAGAAAGCUCAAACACAAAGAUCCAAUCAUGAAAAAGAUAUUAGAUUGGGGGACACGCAUUCACAUUAUUGAAGGGAUUGCUCAAGGACUUCUCUAUCUUCAUCAGUAUUCAAGAUUUUAGCAUGGCUCGAAUAGUUGGAGAUAAU